rnacentral:rRNA from 1 species
UACGGGGGGGCAAGCGUUGUUCGGAAUUACUGGGCGUAAAGGGCUCGUAGGCGGCCAACUAAGUCGGAUGUGAAAUCCCCAGGCUUAACCUGGGAACUGCAUCCGAUACUGGAUGGCUUGAAUUCGGGAGAGGGAUGCAGAAUUCCAGGUGUAGCGGUGAAAUGCGCAGAUAUCAGGAGGAAUACCAGCGGCGAAAGGCGGCCUCUGGACGGUGACUGACGCUGAGACGCGAAAGCGUGGGGAGCAAACAGG